CCUACGGGAGGCAGCAGUAGGGAAUCUUCCGCAAUGGACGAAAGUCUGACGGAGCAACGCCGCGUGAGUGAUGAAGGCUUUCGGGUCGUAAAACUCUGUUGUUAGGGAAGAACAAGUGCUAGUUGAAUAAGCUGGCACCUUGACGGUACCGUAACCAUGUAUGAAGCCACUGCGCUAGACUACGAUACGCCAGCAGCCGCGGUAAUACGUAGGUGGCAAGCGUUAUCCGGAAUUAUUGGGCGUAAAGCGCGCGCAGGUGGUUUCUUAAGUCUGAUGUGAAAGCCCACGGCUCAACCGUGGAGGGUCAUUGGAAACUGGGAGACUUGAGUGCAGAAGAGGAAAGUGGAAUUCCAUGUGUAGCGGUGAAAUGCGUAGAGAUAUGGAGGAACACCAGUGGCGAAGGCGACUUUCUGGUCUGUAACUGACACUGAGGCGCGAAAGCGUGGGGAGCAAACAGGAUUAGAUACCCUGGUAGUCCACGCCGUAAACGAUGAGUGCUAAGUGUUAGAGGGUUUCCGCCCUUUAGUGCUGAAGUUAACGCAUUAAGCACUCCGCCUGGGGAGUACGGCCGCAAGGCUGAAACUCAAAGGAAUUGCACGGGGGCAUCCAGCACAAGCGGUGGAAGCCAUGUGGUUUAAUUCGAAGCAACGCGAAGAACCUUAC
rnacentral:rRNA from 1 species